rnacentral:rRNA from 1 species
GAUGAACGCUGGCGGCGUGCCUAAUACAUGCAAGUCGAGCGAACGGACGAGAAGCUUGCUUUUCUGAUGUUAGCGGCGGACGGGUGAGUAACACGUGGAUAACCUACCUAUAAGACUGGGAUACUUCGGGAAACCGGAGCUAAUACCGGAUAAUAUUUUGAACCGCAUGGUUCAAAAGUGAAAGACGGUCUUGCUGUCACUUAUAGAUGGAUCCGCGCUGCAUUAGCUAGUUGGUAAGGUAACGGCUUACCAAGGCAACGAUGCAUAGCCGACCUGAGAGGGUGAUCGGCCACACUGGAACUGAGACACGGUCCAGACUCCUACGGGAGGCAGCAGUAGGGAAUCUUCCGCAAUGGGCGAAAGCCUGACGGAGCAACGCCGCGUGAGUGAUGAAGGUCUUCGGAUCGUAAAACUCUGUUAUUAGGGAAGAACAUAUGUGUAAGUAACUGUGCACAUCUUGACGGUACCUAAUCAGAAAGCCACGGCUAACUACGUG